UGGGGAAUUUUGGACAAUGGGCGCAAGCCUGAUCCAGCCAUGCCGCGUGAGUGAAGAAGGCCCUCGGGUUGUAAAGCUCUUUUGUCCGGAAAGAAAAGCUUCGGGUUAAUACCCCGGGGUUCUGACGGUACCGGAAGAAUAAGCACCGGCUAACUUCGUGCCAGCAGCCGCGGUAAUACGAAGGGUGCAAGCGUUACUCGGAAUUACUGGGCGUAAAGCGUGCGUAGGUGGUUGUUUAAGUCUGAUGUGAAAGCCCUGGGCUCAACCUGGGAGUGGCAUUGGAAACUGGGCAGCUAGAGUGCGGUAGAGGGUAGUGGAAUUCCCGGUGUAGCAGUGAAAUGCGUAGAGAUCGGGAGGAACAUCUGUGGCGAAGGCGACUGCCUGGACCAGCACUGACACUGAGGCACGAAAGCGUGGGGAGCAAACA
rnacentral:rRNA from 1 species